CACAAGCGGUGGAGCAUGUGGUUUAAUUCGAAGCAACGCGAAGAACCUUACCAGGUCUUGACAUCCCGAUGCUAUUUCUAGAGAUAGAAAGUUACUUCGGUACAUCGGUGACAGGUGGUGCAUGGUUGUCGUCAGCUCGUGUCGUGAGAUGUUGGGUUAAGUCCCGCAACGAGCACAACCCCUAUUGUUAGUUGCCAUCAUUCAGUUGGGCACUCUAGCGAGACUGCCGGUAAUAAACCGGAGGAAGGUGGGGAUGACGUCAAAUCAUCAUGCCCCUUAUGACCUGGGCUACACACGUGCUACAAUGGUUGGUACAACGAGUUGCGAGUCGGUGACGGCGAGCUAAUCUCUUAAAGCCAAUCUCAGUUCGGAUUGUAGGCUGCAACUCGCCUACAUGAAGUCGGAAUCGCUAGUAAUCGCGGAUCAGCACGCCGCGGUGAAUACGUUCCCGGGCCUU
rnacentral:rRNA from 1 species